CCUGUUGUGGGCAGCACAUAUAGGAAUUGGAAUGCUAAAGAGAAGAUUAGCCUGGUCUCUGCACAAGGAUGACAUGCAAUUUCAUGAAGCAUUCCCUAUUUUU